CCUACGGGAGGCAGCAGUGAGGAAUAUUGGUCAAUGGACGAGAGUCUGAACCAGCCAAGUAGCGUGAAGGAUGACUGCCCUAUGGGUUGUAAACUUCUUUUAUAUGGGAAUAAAACGUUCCACGUGUGGGAUUUUGUAUGUACCAUAUGAAUAAGGAUCGGCUAACUCCGUGCCAGCAGCCGCGGUAAUACGGAGGAUCCGAGCGUUAUCCGGAUUUAUUGGGUUUAAAGGGAGCGUAGGUGGAUUGUUAAGUCAGUUGUGAAAGUUUGCGGCUCAACCGUAAAAUUGCAGUUGAAACUGGCAGUCUUGAGUACAGUAGAGGUGGGCGGAAUUCGUGGUGGAGCGGUGAAAUGCUGAGAUAUCACGAAGAACUCCGAUUGCGAAGGCAGUUCACUGGACUGCAACUGACACUGAGGCUCGAAAGUGUGGGUAUCAAACAGGAUUAGAUACCCCAGUAGUC
rnacentral:rRNA from 1 species